UGAUUUUAUUUUAAUUUUAUUUAUUAUUAUUAUUAUUAUUUAUUUAUUAUUUUUAUUUUUAUUUUUUUAUUAUAUAUAUUUUUUAGUUUAGUAUAUAUAUUUCUUUCUAGUUUUGUGUAAAAGAAAAAAAAAUUAAAAAUGAAAAAAUAAAAACAAUUGAUCUCUCAUUAUAUAUAUUUAAUUUUAUUUAAGUAUAUAUUUUUCUUCUAGUUUAGUAUAUAAUUUUCUUUUUCUUUGUGUUAAAAAAAAAAAAAACUUGGAAAUUAAUCCCAUUCUUAGCAAAGAGCAACAAAAAAAUAGCCCAAGUGGACUGAUCCCCUGUCCACGUGGAUUGAUCCCAUUUUACUUGUAUUUUCCCUUCUCAUUACACAUUAAAAGGACAAUUUUUUGUAAAAAAAUAUCGAUCCCCAGUAAAGGAGAUCGAGCGCCCAUCCAUUCUUGCCAUACCUUCCAUUCCCAAACACAGUUUUCUUCUCCUUCCUUGCGAAACCCUUAACCCACCUCCAAUCCCAAUUUGUUGGUUCGCUCCUCACUGAUCUCUUCUUCUCUUCCACGGUGUCGCGGCUGUGAUUUCCGGCGCCAUGGUUCUGAUUCCUCUCUGAUUCCGGUUGGUUUCUUCAGCGAUUUUUUUAUUGGUUCCUUCUCCCGCGAGCUUGUGGGUUGCCGUUAUCCGUGCGGUUAAUUGUUUCGGGUAAGUGCACCCGAAUCCUUUGCGGUUAAUUGCUUUGGUUAAUUGACAUUUAUCAUUUAUCAUCCACCAUAGUGCUCCAAAGAUGAGAGAAUUUGAUGAGAGAAUUCAAUACUCUUAAUCAUAUUUUUCAGACUAUCUGGGUGCUAUUGUUGUGAUAAUAAUUUUCAUGUUUGGAUCAUGUGAAAUCCAAUUUGCAUCCCGAAUCUCUUUCCCCUUCUUUGUUGUGUACUAAAUCUAGAGUUCUGCCUUUGUUUUAGAGUACUGAAAUUGUGACAUUGUUUCGCAAUAUAGAUUGUUGGUCUAAAAAAAAAACCCUACAAAACUAAAUCUAUAGCAACAGGGUUGCAAUAUCUGGAAUGGGUGCUUGAGUUGGAUUUGUUUUGGAGUUGAAUUGAGUUGUUGUAGGUCUAAAAAAAAAACAGAGUGAUGAUUUUUGAAUUGUUGUUAAAAAAAAAAAAAAAUUGCAUUGAUGUUUUUUUUUUUUAAAAAAAAAAAAAAAAGUUGAAUUGAUGAUUGCACAUAGAGUUGCAUUGAUGUGUAAAAAUAAUAAUAAUAAAAAAAAAAGUUGAAUUGAUGAUUAAAAAAAAAAAAAUUUCACAGUGGCCCAAUUUGGUGAUUGGAAAACUAGAGUUGGAUGCUUCAUUUGACAUUGAAUGUCUUGUUGGUUGAUUUGCAGAUUUUGGUUUGUCAUUGGAGUAGGGUUAUUGAAUUUGGACUACUUCCCAUAUAUUUCAAUCUUUAAGAAAUGACUUGUGUUUCUUCUUCCAAACGUUUCAAACCCUCCAAAGAGACUCCCAAAGCUGUGUGGCGCAACAAACGUCUGGAUUUUGAGACUACUUUUGACAUUAAAGGUACAUUUCGCCACAAUGACACGACUGAAUGGGCGGUGUUAGAAUUUGAAAGGAGACGUUUAUCCUGCCUUUUUAGACCAGCUGCAGAGGUUGCAUAUCCCCGUAUUGUGUGUCUGUUUUAUCAGAAUAUGGAAUGGUUUAGUGAUGCGCCGGAUAUAUUAGCUACAACCAUUGAUGGUGUCCGAAUUCACUUUGGUGUCUUGGACAUAGCCCAGGCAUUGGGGUGUCCACAUUUGUGCCCCACUAACUUGCUAGCAGAGAUGGGGAGCUACAUUUUGGCAAAUUCUCAGAAAAACCUAUUGUGCAUUCUAUUGUUAAGGAUAUGUGUGACGGGAAGUAUGGAGACAAUAAGAAGAAGAAUUGUGCCAGCAAGUCCUCACUACCUAAGAAUAUGUGGUUUUUCGAUUAGGUUCUGAAACGGAAUGCUUUUCCAAUAGGUCAUAAGGUACAGAGGGGGCAAGAGUUCUUAAUAGCGUUAUAUGCUACACACACUGGAGCAUGGUUUUCUGUUCCAACUUUCAUCUUUAACCAAAUGCAUAAAUAUUAGAAGCAUUUAGUGGCGAGUGGGGAUCCGAAUGCGUAAAAAUGGAAACUCCCGUUUUCGUAUCUUAUUACCCAGCUUUUUGUCCUUCAACGCUUCGUGGUUGAUAAUGAUGAGGUUUCUGAGGCUCAACGGGUGACUUUUGGGCUAGCACAGUGGAACUUAAGCCUUGCUCAUAUGCCUAGUGCCAAGAAGGAAGGUGAUGGCAUGGUAGCAGGUGGUAGAGAGGAUGUGAAUGCCCUGGUUGAGGACGUCGUUAGGAGGUCUGAGGAGCAGAUUGCUAAUGGUGCUAGUUAUGAGAUAGCACAGGCUGUGUCACCACAUGCAGAAGAGUCUGCAGGGGUGACUAGGACAGAGUUCAAUGCCAUUGUGGGGCAGUUGAGGACCAAGUUGGUUGAAUCUGAGGAGCAGCGUCGAGUCGAGCAUGCUGAGCUUAUACAGCAGCACAUCACUACCCAGCGCAUGCUACGUUAUCUUCGUGAGAUUGUUUCAUCGAGUGGCUCUUCCACAUUGCCACCUGAUGCAUGAUUUCUCUUGUCUAUGUUAGGCUAUUUAGAUUUUUCUAUUUUGAGUGGAUGGGAUUUUAAGUGGCUAUAGUCAGAUUUUUUUAGUGAUUUCAAGCUGGCUAUUUUGGGAACCUGUAAUUUUGGGUUUUGAUGAUAUAUUUUGGUUUCAUUCAUCCAUAUAUGAUUGCUUUUGGCUUUUGUUGCUUAUAUUCAUAUAAAAAAAAAACAAAAAACAAAAAACAAAAAACAAUACUAAGUAAAAAAAUAAUGAAAAUAAAUAAAAAAUAAUAAAAAAAUAAAAAUUGCAAAGUAUCGUUCCGUCUUGCUAGAAACGUUAAACUUAACCCAUUAUUAUUAUUAUUAUUAUUAUUAUUUAUUUUGUAGGUUGUAUAUAUUUAUGUUCUUUUUCUUUAUUUCUUUUAAAAAAAAAAAAAAAAAAAACAAACAAAAAAAUAAAUAAAAUAAUAAUAAUAAUAAUAAAAAAAUUUCAAAAAUAUGUGUUACUAGUAUGCCCUUAUGACUGGUUAUGAAUGUUUUCAGAUUUUAUCAAGGGUUUCAUCUUAUAUCUCUUUGCAUUGUGUUAUCUAUUAUUUAGAACUGUAUGAAUUGCUUAUCCCAUGUGAUAUUUGAUGUGAGUUUGCUAGUAUGGUUAUACAGCUAGGUUUUUGCAUCCAAGUUUGGGGGAGACGUCUUUCCUACUGGAUCAUUGCCAGAUUUCAUAAUCUUUGCCAUCACGGUCAAUAAGGUUUAAACGGACUAAUUUUGGUUCACUAAAGCCUUUUUGGAGUCAAGUAAAGACAUUCAGAAAAAGUUCAGAAAAUGGCAAAAAGAGAUCGCAGCCCAUUGCUCGUAUAGUGUGUUUAUUCUUCAAAAGCGGUCAAUCUCGAGCUUUUGAUGAUGUUCCUAAAGAUGAAGAAGCAAACCAAUUAGGCCAGAACCAAAAUGGAGCCAAAUAAGGCUUAAAGGAAAUUUCCAACUCUGGGGGAUCGAUCCCCCACUAUUCACAGAACUAAAAAUGCCCUUGGGGGACCGAUCCCUGAGGCUGUAGGAUCAAUCCCCCAGUACCUGGCAGCAUUACGGGAUUUUCUUAUUUUGGGCUUAUUUUUGUAACUUAUGAGCUUUAAUAGGGUUUGUUACUUAAGGCCCAGUGAGCCAUUAGUUUAGGGGUAGUUAUUAUUUUAUUUAAGUGAGUUUUUAAUUUAUUAAUUGGGGGGGAUUAUUAGUUUUUCUGUAUCGAUAUAUUCUCUCUGGAAAAACACGCGAAAGAGGAGAAACGAAGAACGUGCUAGGGUUUGGAAGAGGAAGCUCAAAGAUGAUGAAGCAGAUGAUGGAGAUUGUUCCGUCUUCGAAUCCGUCAAUCAUGAGUGGUUGAUUCUUCUACUUAGGGUUCAAUAAACCCUAAGCAUGUAACCUAAUUCUUAACUCUUGACUUUUGGGGAUUAAUUUUUGUUAUAGCCUUGAGAUAUAUAUCAAUUCUUUCAUUUGAUUGUC